rnacentral:rRNA from 1 species
AUUGAACGCUGGCGGCAGGCCUAACACAUGCAAGUCGAACGGUAACAGGAAACAGCUUGCUGUUUCGCUGACGAGUGGCGGACGGGUGAGUAAUGUCUGGGAAACUGCCUGAUGGAGGGGGAUAACUACUGGAAACGGUAGCUAAUACCGCAUAACGUCGCAAGACCAAAGAGGGAGACCUUCGGGCCUCUUGCCAUCGGAUGUGCCCAGAUGGGAUUAGCUAGUAGGUGGGGUAACGGCUCACCUAGGCGACGAGCCCUAGCUGGUCUGAGAGGAGGACCAGCCACACUGGAACUGAGACACGGUCCAGACUCCUACGGGAGGCAGCAGUGGGGAAUAUUGCACAAUGGGCGCAAGCCUGAUGCAGCCAUGCCGCGUGUAUGAAGAAGGCCUUCGGGUUGUAAAGUACUUUCAGCGGGGAGGAAGGGAGUAAAGUUAAUACCUUUGCUCAUUGACGUUACCCGCAGAAGAAGCACCAGCUAACUACGUGCCAGCCGCCGCCGUAA